rnacentral:rRNA from 1 species
AUACGGAGGGGACAAGCGUUAUUCGGAAUCACUGGGCGUAAAGGACGCGUAGGCGGGUUAUUAAGUCGGGUGUGAAAUCCAAUGGCUCAACCAUUGAACUGCAUUCGAAACUGAUAGCCUAGAGUAUGCAAGGGGCAGGUGGAAUUAGUGGUGUAGGGGUAAAAUCCGUAGAUAUCACUAGGAAUACCGAAAGCGAAGGCGACCUGCUGGGACAUUACUGACGCUGAGGCGUGAAAGCGUGGGGAGCAAACAGCAUUAGAAACCCCAGUAGUCC